AAAAUGCAGAGGGUAAAGACAUUUCAGUUUAAAUUAGCUUUGGGUUAGCCAUUUAAUAAUAAAUUCAAAGAACUCUUUGCAACCACCUUCCCCUCACGACAGAAACGUCAUCUGCGAGCUAGAAAAUCAAACCAAACACAGGGUAUCUAAGUUCUGCUCAUCUUUCACCGCCCCUGCACAAACCAAAACUCAAAGCUUUACACCCUGCACUUAGGGAAAGAGGAG
rnacentral:misc_RNA from 1 species